rnacentral:rRNA from 1 species
GUGAGGAAUUUUCCGCAAUGGGCGAAAGCCUGACGGAGCAAUGCCGCGUGAAGGAUGAAGGCCUAUGGGUUGUAAACUUCUUUUCUCAGAAAAGAAUUAUGACGGUAUCUGAGGAAUAAGCAUCGGCUAACUCUGUGCCAGCAGCCGCGGUAAGACAGAGGAUGCAAGCGUUAUCCGGAAUGAUUGGGCGUAAAGCGUCUGUAGGUUGUUUAAAAAGUAUUCUGUCAAAGAUUAGGGCUUAACCCUAGAUAGGCAGAAUAAACUUUUAAGCUAGAGUUUGGUAGAGGCAGAGGGAAUGCCCGGUGAGGCGGUGAAAUGCGUAGAUAUCGGGAGGAACACCAAAGGCGAAGGCACUCUGCUGGGCCAAUACUAACACUGAGAGACGAAAGCGAGGGGAACAAAUGGGAUUAGAUACCCGAGUAGUCC